rnacentral:rRNA from 1 species
UUGGAGGGCAAGUCUGGUGCCAGCAGCCGCGGUAAUUCCAGCUCCAAUAGCGUAUAUUAAAGUUGUUGCAGUUAAAAAGCUCGUAGUUGAAUUUCGGGGUCAGUAGGCUGGUCGUGCCUCAGGUACGUACUGGUCUUACUGAUUCCUCCUUCCUGACGAACCGUAAUGCCAUUAAUUUGGUGUUGCGGGGAAUCUGGACUGUUACUUUGAAAAAAUUAGAGUGUUUAAAGCAGGCUAACGCUUGAAUACAUUAGCAUGGAAUAAUGAAAUAGGACGAUCGAUCCUAUUUUGUUGGUUUCUAGGAUUGACGUAGUGAUUAAUAGGGAUAGUUGGGGGCAUUAGUAUUCAAUUGUCAGAGGUGAAAUUCUUGGAUUUAUUGAAGACUAACUACUGCGAAAGCAUUUGCCAAGGAUGUUUUCAUUAAUCAAGAACGAAAGUUAGGGGAUCGAAGACGAUCAGAUACCGUCGUAGUCUUAACCAUAAACUAUGCCGACUAGGGAUCGGAUGAUGUUAAUUUUUUAAUGACUCAUUCGGCGCCUUACGGGAAA